GAUGAACGCUGGCGGCGUGCCUAAUACAUGCAAGUCGAGCGAACGGACGAGAAGCUUGCUUCUCUGAUGUUAGCGGCGGACGGGUGAGUGACACGUGGAUAACCUACCUAUAAGACUGGGAUAACUUCGGGAAACCGGAGCUAAUACCGGAUAAUAUUUUGAACCGCAUGGUUCAAAAGUGAAAGACGGUCUUGCUGUCACUUAUAGAUGGAUCCGCGCUGCAUUAGCUAGUUGGUAAGGUAACGGCUUACCAAGGCAACGAUGCAUAGCCGACCUGAGAGGGUGAUCGGCCACCCUGGAACUGAGACACGGUCCAUACUCCUACGGGAGGCAGCAGUAGGGAAUCUUCCGCAAUGGGCGAAAGCCUGACGGAGCAACGCCGCGUGAGUGAUGAAGGUCUUCGGAUCGUAAAACUCUGUUAUUAGGGAAGAACAUAUGUGUAAGUAACUGUGCACAUCUUGACGGUACCUAAUCAGAAAGCCACGGCUAACUACGUG
rnacentral:rRNA from 1 species